rnacentral:lncRNA from 12 species
CAGGAAACCACAAAUGUUGGAGAGGAUGUGGAGAAAGGGGAACCCUCUUGCACUGUUGGUGGGAAUGUGAACUGGUGCAGCCACUCUGGAAAACUGUGUGGAGGUUCCUCAAGAAGUUAAACAUAGAGCAACCCUAGACCUAGGAAUUGCUCACUUACUUCCAUCUUCAUUAAAUGACUAACUGAUUGAAUUACACAUGGUGAAGAGCCUUAUUGUAAAGCAACUAACUACAGAGUCACUCAUUUGAAAAGGCGGCGUUGGGCUUGUUCAUCGUUAAUUCAAUGAAAGGAAGUCUUCUGGAGCUCUGGGAAGUUCUUUGUUAUAACCUCUAAAGGAAGACAAAAUCCUGAGACAGUCUUUCAUGAUAGAAAGCAUGAAUAUAAUGAGAGAGUCAACCCAGGCAAGUAUCUUACAUUUAUUCAAACUAUAAAAUUGCUAGUAUCUAGAAAACUUGUGCUGAAUCAACUUUAUUUAAAUGGAAUAUUGCAGCACAUUCACAAUAGAAGCUCAAACCUUUUCCUCUGCAUGAUAAUAUGCCUUUAUGUUUUUCAGAAAGAAAAUUCUCAGAACAUUAAAGAAAGUAGAAAUUCUUAUUAUUCAAGAAGUUGGGUAGAAGAAAUGUGAUGACUCUGACUUCAAUAAAAGGCAAGUCUUAUUCCA